UGGAUGUACCAUGUGAGACUUGGUAGGGGUAACUGGGUAUGGGAGGUCCAGAUGCAUGGGGUUUGGGUGGAUGCGGGAGCAGCUUCCCUUACAGUGACCCCUCUUCCCAUAGCUGAGGAGCAAUGGGGGCAUGAAGCAGGGGAGGAUGCUGAGCUUCCUGCAGCUGGGGAAGGUUUCUGGGGGUGGGUCUGACACAGCCCCAGUCACUCCUUUCAGGGGAAGAGGAAGUCCUGUCCUCUCUUGUCUCCAGCCCAGAUGGGACUAGCAGCUGAUCCCGUCUCAAGGGAGGAACCACUGGCUGGAGUGUCCCCAGCCCUGUGGUGAUUUAUCUCUCUGCCAGCUGCUCCAGGUGCCUGAAAUGAUGUACCUGCACUGCUAGGGAUUGGUGUGUGACUGCUCUUGCAGCUUCCCUUUGCUUCCCUGUUUGAAAGUCAUUUUUCUGCGGGGAAGCAAAGAAAUCUGCGGGUGACAUGAAUUCUGCGCAUGUGCAAUGGUGCAGAAUUCCCCCAAUCCCCCAUCCUGUUGUGUAAAUUUAAAAACAAAGACAAGUACGAUUGUGGCUAUGGUGUUAUCGGAUCCUACACAGCACAGUCACUAUAAUAAGCAAUAAGUGACUAUUAUACCGCUCCUUUAGCUUGCAUGUCAUCUUGUUUUUCUUUGUAGGAUACAUGUCAUAUUUAGUGUUCCAGUUUGUCUGUCUGUCUAAAUAAUUAUUAGCAUAUAUAGGUUGAGACAAAAUCAGCAUAACUACCCAAAGGAGCAGUAAAAAUUAGUUUUCUGGUAGAGAUUGACUUUCAAAUUCAAUAAAAAUUGUCCUACUAGGAAACCCAGGAUAACUUGAUGCUUACAGUAAAAUAUACAUUUUUACGCUUUUGAUCUGAAUGCAAAACAAACUAUUUGGAGCCUGCUUUUGCAAGAUACAGAGCUCCCGCUAUUUCAUCUAGGGGGCCAAUGGGAAUUGGAAACUCCUCAUCUGGAGGGUUGGGCCUUUACAAUCUGCCUAAGGAUGUGAGCCUACUCUCACAGAAGGUGGUGAAUGUUUUGCUGUUGACUUCACUGGCAAUAGAAGAGGGGCCCUGAUGAGGCAAGCACUUGAACAGCCUUUCAGGCAGAUCAAGCAGCUACUCAGUAGGAAGGAAGAAGGGGGAGUGGGAGUGACUAUAGAAAAGUGGGGAGGGAUAGCUCAGUGGUUUGAGCAUUGGCCUGGUAAACACACGCUUGUGAGGUCAAUCCUUGAGGGGGCCAUUUAGGGAUCUGGGGCAAAAAUUGGGGAUUGUUCCUGCCUUGAGCAGGGGGUUGGACUAGAUGACCUCCUGAGGUCCCUUCCAACCCUGAUAUUCUAUGAAGGUCUCUGAAGGCUUGGUUGUGGUAUGUUAGAGGACAGAUGUUAUGACCACUUGAGGCCCGUAAAGGAUGAAACUUCUAAAUCUAGCAAAUAGAAUGAUAAACUGAUAGGGAGACCGAAUGGACCAGAGGAUUGACGCAUUGGAUAUGGAGACUUUCUCUUCUUACACCUGUCUUUCUGUGCUACAACUCUUAAAAUUUGUAAAUAGUUAGUGACAUGUCUGGAUAUAAGCCAUGUUUAGCUUCACACACAGUAUUCAGUUAGUAACAAUGGCAGCUAUUUCAUCCUUGUCUACUGCCUGUGUUGGCAGAUCUUGUAAUAGGAUCAGCAUCCUGGUUUGUUGCAAUAUACAUUGUAACCCCUAAACAUGCUUGUGCAAUCAGUUUGCCUGGUGGUCUUUCCUCUGCGCUGUGUAUGUUGUUCCAUGUGCUGUCUGUGCCAAUCUAUGUGAACAUUCUCCACACAAUUAACCCACUGCUGUGGGCUUAUGGUUGCCCAGUUUUUCCAUUGAGUGCCUUGAUACAAAGUUAGCAAGCACAGAAGGUAGCACACACAAACAUGUCUUGGUGAAAAUGAAACAUUAUUAAAACAGCUUUGAUGGACAUAGUAGUUGAGACUUUGCCUCUGACUGACUUUAAUGUCCAUGUUUAAAAAUUAAAGGAAGAGAGACAUUUAAAACUGAUCUCUGAUGUUAAGCCUCUGAUCACUUACAUACUGAAAUCUUAUUGGUUAAAGUAGAGAGUAUUGUUAUGCAAUAAGUUUUCAGAUUUGUCAUUCGCUGAGUCACCUGUGAUGCUUUCCACUACCCAACAAAGGUAAGUUCUAACUCAUUGAAUUUAAACUGCAAAAGAGGAGAAACCAGCAUUAAAUGUGCAACAGGGUAGAGGGACACUUGCUAUUAGAGGCCAUUAUCUUAAAUUUUGUGUAUAGAAAUAACCUUUUAUAGUAUUAAUAUCCACUUUCAGCUGUAUAUGAUAAAUCUGCUUGAACAUAUUCAAGGAAAAGAGAUAGUAUAGUUUGUAAUGAGGUCCCCCUUUUAGGUUCCUCCACUACGUUCUGCUAUUGAGCUAUUCUUUUUUUCCUUCAUGAUAUGGAGAUCCCUAAAUAAUACCUGGUAAUACUGAUAUGUAGUUUGGACAUGAUGAAAAGGUGUAUAUUUUACUUUAAGAGAAGCAACUGAAGAUGGAGACUGACCAUGAGUUAAUUUCCUGUAUUCAUUUUUUUUCUUUCAGGUUCAUAUUGAGAUCCAUUGACUUGUGACUUGCUGUGCUUAUUGUCUGUGUUGCAGCUAGGGUUACUAAUAUUCUGUAUUGCUGUUUAACCAAAUGCAAAGUCUGAAGGACAGAAGAGCUAUGAUUGUCUCCCAUGUGAAUAUGGAGGAGGAAGAAGACUUAAACCAUGAACAUUUAUGUGAAAGUGGCCCAAAUAGCCAAAAUGAGAUCCUUCACCUUCCAGACGUGUGUUCCUUGUUGAAUAAUUCUCACAUUGAUGUUAAUAGUAGCUUACAAAAAGAAUUCUUUUCUCUUAAGAUCAGGAAUUGCUCUUUAUUUAAGGCUGUACCUUUGCCUCAUAUUGGCAAGAAAAUGCCUCCUCAUUUGAGUGAACCAACAAGGUUAAAUUUAAGUGCAGCUGUCUCGUCAAAGGAUUCAUCUCAUCUGCUCUUUUCAGCUGAGAGAGGACGACUUGAUAAGGUUUUUAACCACUUUGAUAGUACUUCUGUGACAGAAUGGCUGGAGAAAGCAUAUAGUUCCAUUAGUGACUUGGGUGUCUGGUGUUGCACUGGAGAUAACUUUGUACAUUUUGCACAUUUCUGGCUGUCAGAGCUACAUUACAAUCAAAAAAGGCAAUUGUUGGAAUUAGAAAUGGGUAUUAUUGAGGAUGAAUUGCAACUUGCAUUUCUUGAGGAGUUGGAUUCUGAACUGCAACCUUCUGAUCUGCAUUCCAUCCUUGCUGCCACAUUGAGUGAAUAUCCUAUGGGACUACUGAGCAACCAGAAACUGUAUAUUUUCCUUGACUAUUUAAACAUCAUGUCUUCAGAGCAAACAACUGGAUAUAAAAAAAUGCUUUCAAGUGUAAAAUAUACAACAAAUAAUCCUCAAGUAACACAGUGGCUACUAGCUGUACGAGCUUUUGUGCUAGCAAAUCUCUGGCAUGCAGUAGUGAAGUUUUAUAAGGCAUUGGUCAGUACCAAGCUCCUUCCUGAACUACAUAUCAAGAGUUCUGUUUCUGCUACUACAAAGCAAACAAACGAAGUGGUUACAGAAAGAGCUCUACAGAGUGUCCAGCUGGGAUAUGCUGAUGUCUUGCAUUAUCUUAUUAUAAACCAGCAGCUUGACCUUGAUGCAGUAGAUGAAAAAAAUCGAAAUCUCAUAUUUUUAGCCACUAUAUAUGACCAACCAAAGAUACUGGACUAUUUUCUUGACAUGGGACUUCCCAUACCUGAUGUAAACCAAGCAGCAGAAAAUGGAAACACACCACUCCAUGCUGCAGGUACUUGGGAAUUUGCUAUUUAUUGCUGAAUGCUGAAGCUGAUGUGAAAAGCCUCCUGGGAGAUCUAACGCCUGUACAACUUGCUGAGAAUUUUGCAGGCAGACGUCCACCUGUUGGAGGCCUUUUCUCUCCCUUUCCUCACCAGUCACUGAGUAAGGGGGCUAUGUUUGACUGAAGGGCGGAACCAAGAGGAGUGAACUCAGCGGAGGGAUCAGCCAGAGAAAGGAUGAGGAGUCUCAGCUCACCCAAGAGAAGCUAAGCAGAGGUGGUAACAGCAGCAAUCUGUAGUAGGAGGGCCAAUCCGAAGCUGCCUUCUGCUAUUCCAUAUAAAAUCAAGACAUCAGGAAGAAGUAGCAAAGCCUAGAGUGAGGAAAGCAUGGUGGAAGAGAGUGAGCAAGUUGAGGGCCAGAGGGAAAAAGACAGAGCCUCUGCUGAACCAGUGGCACAGGAUCAGCUUCACCAGGAUCAGCUCCACCACUUAGACAAGGACUAAGAGUGAGAAAAGCCUGGAAGAAAGAAAAAAAAGCCCUUUUCGUGUUUCCCUGUGUGAGGCUUUGCAGCCUCAGAAGAGUAACAGAUUGGGGAGGAAAAAGAUAGAUGGGAGGAAGAAUACUUAGGGCAGGGUGACAUGAGGUGGAGACAGACUUGUAGUACUCAUGAGAAAGAAGAGCUGUUGCUGAAAUUUUUACAGGUUCUAGCAGUCAGCCAUGAAUUCCUUCCCCCAAGAAACAAUCACUAAGUAUGCAGUGUUUGUUAGUCCCAGGAUAUUAGAGAGACAAGGUGGGUGAGGUAAUAUCUUUAAUUGGAAAAACCUCUGUUGGUGAGAGAGACAAGUGCUUGAGCUUACACAGCGGUCUUCCUCAGAUCACCUUGUGUCUCUAAUCAUUGAGGAUGUAAUUAACAAAGGGUAUGUCUACACUACGGAAUAAGGUCGAAUUUAUAGAAGUCGGUUUUUUAGAAAUCGGUUUUAUAAAUUCGAGUGUGUGUGUCCCCACAGAAAAUGCUCUAAGUGCAUUAAGUGCAUUAACUCGGCGGAGCGCUUCCACAGUACCGAGGCAAGCGUCGACUUCCGGAGCGUUGCACUGUGGGUAGCUAUCCCACAGUUCCCGCAGUCUCCGCUGCCCAUUGGAAUUCUGGGUUGAGAUCCCAAUGCCUGAUGGGGCUAAAACAUUGUCGCGGGUGGUUCUGGGUACAUAUCGUCAGCCCCCCGUUCCCUCCCUCCCCCCGUGAAAGCAAGGGCAGACAAUCAUUUCGCGCCUUUUUUCCUGAGUUACCUGUGCAGACGCCAUACCAUGGCAAGCAUGGAGCCCGCUCAGGUAACCGUCACCCUAUGUCUCCUGGGUGCUGGCAGACGCGGUACGGCAUUGCUACACAGUAGCAGCAACCCCUUGCCUUGUGGCAGCAGACGGUACAGUACGACUGGUAGCCGUCAUCGUCAUGUCUGAGGUGCUCCUGGUCGCCUCUGUGAGGUCGAUCAGGAGCACCUGGGCAGACAUGGGCACAGGGACUAAAUUUGGAGUGACUUGACCAGGUCAUUCUCUUUAGUCCUGCAGUCAGUCCUAUUGAACCGUCUUAUGGUGAGCGGGCAGGCGAUACGGACUGCUUGCAGUCGUACUGUACCAUCUUCUGCCGAGCAGCCAUGAGAUGUGGAUGGCAUGCAGUCCUUCUGCACCGUCUGCUGCCAGCCAAAGAUGUAAAAGAUAGAUGGAGUGGAUCAAAACAAGAAAUAGACCAGAUUUGUUUUGUACUCAUUUGCUUCCCCCCUCCCCUG